GACAGCAGUAGCCGCGGUAAUACAGAGGGUGCGAGCGUUAAUCGGAUUUACUGGGCGUAAAGCGUGCGUAGGCGGCUAAUUGAGUCGGAUGUGAAAUCCCCCAGCUUAACUUGGGAAUUGCAUUCGAUACUGGUUAGCUAGAGUGUGGGAGAGGAUGGUAGAAUUCCAGGUGUAGCGGUGAAAUGCGUAGAGAUCUGGAGGAAUACCGAUGGCGAAGGCAGCCAUCUGGCCUAACACUGACGCUGAGGUACGAAAGCAUGGGGAGCAAACAGGAUUAGAUACCCCGGUAGUCCCUGUCUCUUAUAA
rnacentral:rRNA from 1 species